UUGGGCGCUUGCUAUCAUAUUUUAUUCCUCCACAUUCUGUAUCUGUCUGUACAAAGUUAGGAACCUGUAAUCCAGUAGUUGUAGUUGUUGUUUGUUACAUCUUCGCAAAUUUGUUUAUCGCUUUACUUUUUUUACAAACAUAAAUUAGUCCAUUAUUUUUUCUCGUUUGAAUUUGGUUUUUUACAUCAAAUCUGUCAGGGUCUUUUUUAAGCUGACUAUGUGUAAUGAACUUUGCUCAAUGAUGAAGGCCUUUCAGUAACCUUGAGUUGUUAAUUUCUGUGCCAUUUUGUCUCUUUACAUAAGGUGACAACAAAUUGCAAUCUUCAGUGUUAAUGUCUCUAUCAAUUUUAGAUAUCCUUUUUCUUGUAAUUUUCAUUUUCAGAUCUAUCUUUCUUUUCUCAAACCCCUAAACUGUCCUUUCCAGACUAACCUAUAGUUGUUAAUGUCAGUGUCAUUUUGGUCUCUUGUGGACAGUUGUCUCAUUUGCAAUCAUACCACAUCUUCUUUUUUAUAUAAAGCAAUCAUUCAAUUUAUUUAAAAUAUGCAAUCUAACUAAUCAAAUUUGAUAACUACUGUACCAACAGGGGAGGGUUUUUCUUUUUGAUCUACUUAUCAUGUUUAUAGAACUAUUGUCUCUUAGAUACCUUUUUAAAUAAAUAUAGUUGUACACGUC
rnacentral:lncRNA from 1 species